UACAGAGGUCCCGAGCGUUGUUCGGAUUUAUUGGGCGUAAAGGGUGCGUAGGUGGCAAAGUAAGUUGGAUGUGAAAUCCUGGGGCUCAACCUCAGAAUUGCAUUCAAUAACUGCUUAGCUAGAGAAGCUGUAGAGGAGACUGGAAUUUACGGUGUAGCAGUGAAAUGCGUAGAUAUCGUAAGGAACGCCAGUGGCGAAAGCGAGUCUCUGGGCAGCAUCUGACACUGAGGCACGAAGGCCAGGGGAGCAAACGGG
rnacentral:rRNA from 1 species